AAAAAGUUAGUUAAUUAAAUAAUAUAAAAUUGUCAUUUUUAAGUUACUUUUAGUACUUUUUA
rnacentral:tRNA from 2 species